AUGAACGCUAGCUACAGGCUUAACACAUGCAAGUCGAGGGGCAGCAUGGUCUUAGCUUGCUAAGGCCGAUGGCGACCGGCGCACGGGUGAGUAACGCGUAUCCAACCUGCCUUACACUCUUGGACAGCCUUCUGAAAGGGAGAUUAAUACAAGAUGUUAUCAUGAGUAAGCAUUUUCGCAUGAUUAAAGGUUUACCGGUGUAAGAUGGGGAUGCGUUCCAUUAGAUAGUAGGCGGGGUAACGGCCCACCUAGUCUUCGAUGGAUAGGGGUUCUGAGAGGAAGGUCCCCCACAUUGGAACUGAGACACGGUCCAAACUCCUACGGGAGGCAGCAGUGAGGAAUAUUGGUCAAUGGACGAGAGUCUGAACCAGCCAAGUAGCGUGAAGGAUGAAGGUUCUAUGGAUUGUAAACUUCUUUUAUACGGGAAUAAACGGAUCCACGUGUGGAUUUUUGCAUGUACCGUAUGAAUAAGGAUCGGCUAACUCCGUGCCAGCAGCCGCGGUAAUACGGAGGAUCCGAGCGUUAUCCGGAUUUAUUGGGUUUAAAGGGAGCGUAGAUGGGUUGUUAAGUCAGUUGUGAAAGUUUGCGGCUCAACCGUAAAAUUGCAAUUGAUACUGGCAGUCUUGAGUACAGUUGAGGUAGGCGGAAUUCGUGGUGUAGCGGUGAAAUGCUUAGAUAUCACGAAGAACUCCGAUUGCGAAGGCAGCUUACUAACCUGUAACUGACAUUGAUGCUCGAAAGUGUGGGUAUCAAACAGGAUUAGAUACCCUGGUAGUCCACACGGUAAACGAUGAAUACUCGCUGUAGGCGAUAUACAGUCUGCGGCCAAGCGAAAGCAUUAAGUAUUCCACCUGGGGAGUACGCCGGCAACGGUGAAACUCAAAGGAAUUGACGGGGGCCCGCACAAGCGGAGGAACAUGUGGUUUAAUUCGAUGAUACGCGAGGAACCUUACCCGGGCUUAAAUUGCAACCGAAUAUGGCGGAAACGCUAUAGCUAGCAAUAGCGGUUGUGAAGGUGCUGCAUGGUUGUCGUCAGCUCGUGUCGUGAGAUGUUGGGUUAAGUCCCGCAACGAGCGCAACCCUUGCCGAUAGUUACUAACAGGUCAUGCUGAGGACUCUGUCGGGACUGCCAUCGUAAGAUGUGAGGAAGGUGGGGAUGACGUCAAAUCAGCACGGCCCUUACGUCCGGGGCUACACACGUGUUACAAUGGGGGGUACAGAGGGCUGCUACCACGCAAGUGGAUGCCAAUCCCAAAAACCUCUCUCAGUUCGGAUUGAAGUCUGCAACCCGACUUCAUGAAGCUGGAUUCGCUAGUAAUCGCGCAUCAGCCACGGCGCGGUGAAUACGUUCCCGGGCCUUGUACACACCGCCCGUCACACCAUGGGAGUGGGUUGCAAAAGAAGUAGGUAGCUUAACCUUCGGGAGGGCGCUUACCACUUUGUGAUUCAUGACUGGGGUG
rnacentral:rRNA from 1 species